rnacentral:rRNA from 1 species
UGGGGAAUAUUGGACAAUGGGCGAAAGCCUGAUCCAGCAAUGCCGCGUGUGUGAAGAAGGCCUUAGGGUUGUAAAGCACUUUCAGUGGGGAGGAAGUUAAGGAUGCUAAUACCAUUUUUAAUUGACGUUACCCACAGAAGAAGCACCGGCUAACUCUGUGCCAGCAGCCGCGGUAAUACAGAGGGUGCGAGCGUUAAUCGGAAUUACUGGGCGUAAAGGGUGUGUAGGUGGUUAGGUAAGUUAGAUGUGAAAUCCCCGGGCUCAACCUGGGAACUGCGUUUAAAACUGCUUGGCUAGAGUAUUGCAGAGGAUAGUGGAAUUUCCAGUGUAGCGGUGAAAUGCGUAGAUAUUGGAAGGAACACCAGUGGCGAAGGCGACUAUCUGGGCAAAUACUGACACUGAGACACGAAAGCAUGGGGAGCAAACAGG